rnacentral:lncRNA from 1 species
UGUUGGAUGUUUACAAAAUUCUUGAAAGUUUCCUACCAUAAAUCAUCUGUUGUGAGGAUUUAAGUUCAUGUUUGAUAUAGAAAACUAUAAUUUUAAAAUUCUACGAGAUGAUAGAUUCCUACCAUAUAAGAAGUAUGGAUUGUGAGGAUCUAAGUUCAUGCUUUAUGGUAGGAAUCUAUUGUUUAAAAUUUUUCAGAAUUUUG